CAGUAGCCACGGUAAUACGUAGGGUGCAAGCGUUAAUCGGAAUUACUGGGCGUAAAGCGUGCGCAGGCGGUUAUAUAAGUCAGAUGUGAAAUCCCCGGGCUCAACCUGGGAACUGCAUUUGAGACUGUAUGGCUAGAGUGUGUCAGAGGAGGGUAGAAUUCCACGUGUAGCAGUGAAAUGCGUAGAUAUGUGGAGGAAUACCGAUGGCGAAGGCAGCCCCCUGGGAUAACACUGACGCUCAUGCACGAAAGCGUGGGGAGCAAACAGGAUUAGAUACCCCCGUAGUCCCUGUCUCUUAUAC
rnacentral:rRNA from 1 species